AAGUUGUGUUCCGAAGGAAAGAUAGUACUAGCAGUGAUGUCAUCUCAUAUUGCAGAGCUGCUUCUAUAGGGAGCACACUCGAGGUUCCACAUCCCCCUAUCCUUGCAGAAGAGUCAACAUGUUAAGGUUCCCACUUGACCUACUAAAAAAGACAUCACUUAUACUAUGGGAUGAAGGUCCAAUGGCAAACAAGAUAUGCUUUGAGGCGCUAGACAGAACUAAAGGUAGGACUAUAUCUGCCUAAACAAGUGUUCACAAAUGGAUAGCUAUAUGUAGCAUUAUCAAGAUUCACAAGAAGAUAUGGACAAUGUGUAGUGGUAAAUGAUGAAGAUAGCAAAGAGGAGGAUGUGUUCAAGAACAUUGUCUAUACUGAAAUAUUUUAAAGGUAUGGAAAAACAAAAACACUUUUAGUAUGAUUCUUAGAUAAGAAUAGGUACAUGAAAAAUUUGUACACUACAAACUAUCUUCAAAAUACAAAUUAAUAGCAUACCAAUGCUGACAUUAUAUGGCAGGACAAAUAUGGUCCAUGCUCUGUGUAAGUACUGGACACAUGCAACAACAUUUGAAGGAAAUAGUUAAUCAAUUCUAAACAUGUACACUAUAUUUUCUGAUAUUUGUGGCUUAAUAUAUAGUACAACACAAUAUAAAGAGCAUUUGUGCAUCAUUAUAAUUUGUAUGUACAAUGCGGUCAGACCUAUUUUACUACCCUGUUAUUAUAAAUACAAUUUUGUCUUUAGGAAAUAUUAAACUAGAGUUACACAAUUACACUGAUUAAUACAUAUAUUUGUUCAAUAUGAAUUGGGGUAAGGUUUAUUAUUUAUACAUGUUAAAUAUGAAUUGGGGUAAGGGGGGCUAAUACUGCCGAUUACGGUCCAAACCUGGAAAAAAGUGUAGGGGCAUAAGAAAAUAAAUAUUCUCCACUAACAGGUAGUACCUUAAUCACAUUAUAUUGGUAUAUACAAUCGUACAAACAUAAUAAAAGGUUAAUAAAAAAAGGGCAAUCAGGAAAAGGAGAAAGGGGGAACCUGUAGGUCGAAGAAAGUUGCCAAUGUGGAGGAUGACAACGAUGUGUCGGUCUGCCUCGACUGGGAACAACGACGAUGCGUCCGACUCGCGCGCUAGGGGAAGACAACGCUGCCGCCAUCCUCACGCUCAAGAUGGAUUCAAGCUGGCAGCGGAAGACAAGAUCCAAGCCCACAUCACCUGCGAGUCGAGCUGGGAGGUGCCUCAGUCGAGGACGAGCAAGCUAAAGAGAAGAAAUGAAGAGAGCAAACUGAUGGUAGCUGAGUUACCAGUCGGAUCUCAUCCGCUCGUAUGAAUUUUGGAAUGAGCGAGCGGAGAGAAGAAGGAAAGGAGAAAAGGGAUCGGGCAAGAGUAAGAUUUUUUAUUUGUAGGGAAGCAACAACAAUACGUCUCUUUUAGCGGUGCAAGAGCAACAUGCUCACAUG
rnacentral:lncRNA from 1 species